UCUGGUGUCUCCUCCUCCCAUGCCUUUCUGCUAGCCCCGGAUUCCCCAGUUAACCUCUUAGGCAGAGAUCUGUUGUGUAAACUACGUGCUCAGAUUUUCUUUUCAGAUGACAAAAUCAUUCUUCGGUUGCCUCAAACCCAACUUCCCCAGCUGUGUGUUGUUCUAACCCAAGUUUCAAAAAACCCGAUCCUGCCUGCAGACCAAAUCUUACCCGAGCGACUCAGACAGGAAGUAAACAUCUCCCUGUGGGGCACUUCAAGGGCAGACUUGGGGACUCUCCAGACAGAGCCAGUGCGUAUAACCCUGAAGCCAGGCAUUGAAAUUCCUCGGAUUCGUCAGUAUCCCAUCCCCCAAGAAGCUCUGCUUGACCUCCGGAGUCUUAUCACCACAUUCCUACGGUUGGGAGUGCUGGUUCACACCAAGUCUCCUUUCAAUACUCCCAUCCUGCCAGUAAAAAAACCUGACAUGGACUCAGAGGGAAAACCGGUAUACCGAUUUGUCCAGGACUUACGUGCAGUAAAUAAGGUUGUCCAAGCUAGACACAAUGUGGUACCAAACCCUCACACAAUCCUGACUGCCAUUCCAGCAGGUACUGCUUGUUAUUCAGUAAUAGACUUGUGUAAUGCUUUUUUUAGUAUUCCUCUAAAUAAAAACAACUAAAAUAUCUUUGCAUUUACAUGGACGGACCCAAAAACUAAAAAAGCAAAACAACUGACCUGGACUCGGCUCCCGCAAGGAUAUGUUGAGUCCCCGACUAUUUUUUCCUCUAUCCUGACACGUGACUUAGCUAAUAUCAGCCUACCGGGUGGGUCUACAUAUCUCUUGUAUGUGGAUGACGUCCUGGUUUGUUCUCCGGAUCAAGUAUGCGGCUCAAUUUCAGUCCCUACCCGCUGAUGUUCCUGCCCACCGGAUCGCUCCAAGAGACUGGGUCUAUGUGAAAAAGUAAAAACACGAGCCUCUCCAACCCCGGUGGGCGGGCCCUUUCCAAGUCCUUCUUACCUCUCACACUGCUGUUCGAGUGAGAGAGCGAGACACUUGGAUACACCACACCCGAGUCAAGCUAGCCCCUAAGACGGAGCCAGAAGCAGACGACUUCGGACCUCGAGGGAGCACCGCCAGCUCUUCCCACCGCGACCCGGAAGAGCCAAAAGCAGACAAUACCUAAAAAGCUGAACCUCUUAAAAAACUAAAGCUUCUGUUCCGGCGAACAAAAUCCUAAAACUUUAUAACUAUGGGUUCUCAGACGGUGCUGCAGUGGCUAUUGCUUUUGGGUUUGCCCCUUGUACAAGCUAAUCCACACCCAGCCGCUAAAUCUCUUCAGCAAAUAGCCACAUUGAGACACUUAUCUGAUUGUUGGCUGUGUCACAAAACCCGCUCU